GUCGCCGCCGCGCGGCCCCUUCUUCCGCUCCCAGAAUGCCGCGCGCGCCGGCCCCGACUGUAGCUCCCGUCGCCACUGUGAGGAGAGCAAGUGCCCUGAAAGGCGGGACCCGCCUCGGCUGACUGACUGCGGGUUUCCCAGGUCUUGAAAGCUAACGGGAUUCUGGAGACUGAUAAAGGUUGACCUCCUGGUGUUUGGCCUGUACCGUCACCCGCGGCGGCUUUAUGCCUCAGUUCUGGGAGAAUACCCCGCUGUAGUCCUGCGAGGCCAAAGACAGGGUCCCCAGUGCAGUUGACAAGUCAGUCUCUUCUCUUCGCUGCCAUUGAAGAAGUCAUGCUACAAGGGCCCCCAGUGCCAGUCCCUGCUCACAUCUGUGUGCAGUGCCGACCGCUCCACUGCUUUGAACCAGGAUAAAAGUGGAGACUUCCUUGAUGAAGGCACAGCUUUCCUGGGCUCCUUAGUUGAAUGCGGCUGUGCUCUGCCCUCUUCUGCUGUCCAGACCUUGGAUUCCUUGAAUUCUUCUGUGAACAAAAGAAGAAUAAAUUGAAAAAGAACCCUCACCUUGGGACUUGAAAAAGGAAACAAGGAACAAUUACAAAGUAGCCCUGUCUCAUGACCCUGUCCGAUUCUCAGGGAAAUGAACUUACAGGAGGCUGCAGGACAUCCCAGAAGAAGAGGUGAAAAGUUCCUGACUCUUGAGAAGAGAUUGGCCUCUCUGUUCUCCAUUUGAGGAAGAGCCCCGGUCUAGCACCCUGGUCUUUCCUGGACUGCUCAGAGACAGCAAGUAUGGUUUCCUGGACUGGAGGAGUCUGACCCUCAAUUUUCCCCAGGCACUGAUUUGAGAACCCAGACAUUGUGGAUGCUCAGAGGACAACUUUGAACCCCUGCUGUCAUCUUCUUCCUCGUCAGUUUUAGAGAGGGUAAGUACUGCUUCUUACUGAACUCAUUUUUUUCUAAUGGGCACCAAUGAAGCUGUCACCAAGUGUUUCAAAGGAUUUAAAAACUCCCUCAAAUAAUCCAGACAUGUUGUAGUUUCUACUUAUGUGUGAAUGUGU